GGAAAAAUGAUAGGGGAAGGAAAAAAAAAAGAUAAUUCUUUUAUUUUGUUGGAGGGAAAAAGGAAGAAAGAAAAAUUAAAAUUGAAUUCUUCCUUGCUUUUAAGAAGGAAAAUAUGAAAAGAAAAAAAUUUAUUUGGAUUUGCAUGGUAGGCCAUUUUAUUUUCCACCCAAAUUGAGGAAAUAGUGAAAACAGUAUUAAUUUUUUCUAUUUUCCCUCUAUGCCCUUUUUUCCUCAAAUAGUUAUUUUUUAAUAUAAUUUUAUUU
rnacentral:misc_RNA from 1 species